CCUACGGGAGGCUGCAGUGGGGAAUAUUGCACAAUGGGGGAAACCCUGAUGCAGCGACGCCGCGUGAGUGAAGAAGUAUUUCGGUAUGUAAAGCUCUAUCAGCAGGGAAGAAAUAAAGUCCUUCGGACUCUGGACGGUACCUGACUAAGAAGCCCCGGCUAACUACGUGCCAGCAGCCGCGGUAAUACGUAGGGGGCAAGCGUUAUCCGGAUUUACUGGGUGUAAAGGGAGGGUAGACGGCGGCGCAAGUCUGGAGUGAAAUCCCAUGGCUUAACCAUGGAACUGCCUUGGAAACUGUGCAGCUGGAGUGCAGGAGAGGUAAGCGGAAUUCGUGGUGUAGCGGUGAAAUGCGUAGAUAUUAGGAGGAACACCAGUGGCGAAGGCGGCUUACUGGACUGUAACUGACGUGGAGGCUCGAAAGCGUGGGGAGCAAACAGGAUUAGAUACCUGGGUAGUC
rnacentral:rRNA from 1 species